rnacentral:rRNA from 1 species
UGGGGAAUAUUGCACAAUGGGCGCAAGCCUGAUGCAGCCAUGCCGCGUGUGUGAAGAAGGCCUUCGGGUUGUAAAGCACUUUCAGCGAGGAGGAAGGUGGUGAGCUUAAUGCGCUCAUCAAUUGACGUUACUCGCAGAAGAAGCACCGGCUAACUCCGUGCCAGCAGCCGCGGUAAUACGGAGGGUGCAAGCGUUAAUCGGAAUUACUGGGCGUAAAGCGCACGCAGGCGGUUUGUUAAGUCAGACGUGAAAUCCCCGGGCUCAACCUGGGAACUGCAUUUGAAACUGGCAAGCUAGAGUCUCGUAGAGGGGGGCUAGAAUUCCAGGUGUAGCGGUGAAAUGCGUAGAGAUCUGGAGGAAUACCGGCGGCGAAGGCGGCCCCCUGGACGAAGACUGACGCUCAGGUGCGAAAGCGUGGGGAGCAAACAGGAUUAGAGUACCCUGGUAGUCCACGCUGUAAACCGAUGUCGAUUUGGAGGUUGUGCCCUUGAGGCGUGGCUUCCGGAGCUAACGCGUUAAAUCGACCGCCUGGGGAGUACGGCCGCAA